rnacentral:tRNA from 1 species
AGCCACCAUCGAGAUUCGAACUCGCGACCCCUGGUUUACGAGAUCAGUGCUCUAACCUCUGAGCUAUGGUGGC